GUCCAGUAGCCAUCACAACUAGGAGCAGCAACGAAUAGUAUUCGUUCUGUGAGACCAUGGGGUGGAGUGAGAAAGGAAUGAACAGGAUAUCUCAGGAUAAUGUUCCAGGCCCAACCAUCUUCAGCUGCUUCAUCAAUGACCUUCUCUCCACCAUAAGAUGCAUUCAUCCAUUACAGUAUCAGAAGGAGUGACCACCACGUAGUUCUUGUGGAGACAACAUCUAAUCUUCUCAUGAGGAUACCCUUCAUCAUGUUGUGUGUCACAAGCACCCAGCUGAAUGGGACAGACUUUGAAUGGAUCUAACAAUGCAAAACUAGCCAUCCAAGAGGCACCUGUGUACCAUCAAUUGCAGCAGAAUUAUAUUCAACAGCAAUCUAUAACUUCAUGGCCCAACAUAUCCCCCACUCUGUAAUUACCAUCAACCUUAGGAGAUUAGCACUGGUUCAGUGAAGCGUGCAAGAGGCUAUACUAGAUGCAGCACUAGUGAAACUACAGCAUAGGGACUUUUGCAUGCCAAACAGUGGAAGCAACAAGUGAUGGAUAAAGCUCUUCAACUUAUCCAACUAAUGGGUCAGAUCUAAGCAAUGCAUUCCUGUCACAUUGAGUUAUGAAUGGUGUUUGACAAUUAAAGAACCAACAGAUGGUACAUGCUCCACAACUAUCUCCAUUCUCAAUAACUGGAUACGCAGCAUAUCAGCACAAAAGACAAGACUUAAAUAUUUGCAAAUAUCUUUAGCCAUAAAUGCCAAGUGGAUGAUCCAUCUCAGCCUCCUCCUGAGGUCUGCAACAAACACUCGCAAGUUGUCAACCAACCCAAAUCUAUUCACGUCAUAUGAGAUGAUAAAACUGAUGGAGACAAUAGUACUGAGAUUUAUGCUCCAUAAUCAGCUGUGCCACUAGUAUAACUGUUCUAGUACAGUUACAACACUGAAUCUACUUAACAUUGUGGAAAAAUGCCCAGGUAUUUCCAGUACACAUAAUUCAGGACAAAUUCAACUUGCCCAAUUAUUGUCAAAUUAGUGUACUUUUAAUCAUCAGCAACAUGAUGGAAGUUGCAGUCGACACUUAUCAAGCAGCAUUUGCCCUCACUUGUUCAGUUUGGGUUCUGCCAGAGCCACCCUAUUCCUGAUCUCAUUGCAAUUGUGGUCUAAACAUGAACAAAAGAGCUGAAAUUCAGAAAUGAGGUGAGAAU